AAAGCCCAGAUGUAUCUCUGCUUAUUGUUCCAAUUGGAGAGAGCAGUAGAAUGAACGUGAAGAAAGGCAAAUUUGUGUAUCUGAUUACAGGCAAGUAUGGGAAUUCUCUCUCACGCUUUCUCCUCUCCACCUGCACUCGGAAAGGGAGAAGAUGAAGUAGCAGGUGCCUGAGGAGAGUAGAGAUUACAAAUAUCCUGGAGAACUGGAUGGAAAGCUGCCUAAGAAACCGAGGCAUCCGCGGUAGGUGUCGGCCUGUGGCGGGCGAACAGGACCAGGAGACAACUGUUGUUCUUCAUUCGUCGGCUUCCCUUCAUUUUUACUACAAACGUCGCCUUCCACCUCUUGAACGACGCCCGCAACUACCCGGCUGGUACUUCAGGAGGCGGGGCCUCCGGGUUUCCACUAUCUCCGAGGCCUCUGGGAGUGGUAGUUUUCCGAGGGCACUUUGCGCAGGCGCUCUGUGGUCCCCGCCGCUAGUGGGGCCGCCGGGAGCCGGUUGGCGCCCAAGGUACUGUUAUGUCACAGACUGUCUCCAUAUCAGGCCCGAAGAUCAGCAGGCCUGGAGAGAAGAUGACGGAGAUUCUUCCUCCUGUUUCAGAUCUCUGCCAACUCUGGCCUGGUACUUUUCCAAGAGGACAUAGAAGAGGAGAGGAUGGCAGCUGUGCCCCUAACAGCCAGAUGGCAGUAGUCUUUACUCUUCCUCAGUGAUACAUAAAAGAAGGCACAUAGGUGAGUAAGAACAUGUUUGUCUUUUCAGAAGUCACUCAAGUUUAAGGAUGUGGCUGUGAAGUUCUCAAAGGAUGAGUGGAAGCAGCUGGUCCCUACUCAGAGGGCUCUUUACAGGGAGGUGAUGCUGGAGAAUUAUCAGGGUUUUGUUUCUUUGGGUAAGCUCGACUCUUCACUGACUGCCAUUGGGUGUGUGUGUAAAGAAUAUGGUCCCUCUUUUUUUUUUUAAGUUUUUAUUUAUUUUUGAGAGAGAGUGAGUGUACAGCAGGGGAGGGGCAGAGAGAAAGGGAGAGAGAGAGAAUCCCAAGCAGGCUCCAUACUCAAUGUGGAGCCCAACAUGGGGCUCAGUCUCUCUACUGUGAGAUCAUGAUCUGAACCAAAAUCAAGAGUCGGACGCUUAGCCAACUGAGCCACCCAGGUGCCCCUAGCCCUUCCUUUCUUGCUGGGGCAGAAUUGUACAUGUUUAGAUAGAUCCCUAGCAAGGGUAUGAGCGGUUUGUGAGUUUAUUUACCUUUUGUUGUCUGUAUUUUACUAGUGGCUGUCAGUACUGUCAAUCAAUGGGCUUCUUGAUCAGGAUAGAAUCUGAAGGAUAAGUGAAGGUUGGUCUGAGACUCAGCUUUAAGCAAAAAAUUGUGUUAUAUAAAAUGGAAAAUGGGUACCCCCUUUUCUGGGAAUUGACCUAAGGGGGGAAAAUCAGAUAAAUGUUUAUCUCUUUUUUGGUUAAAAUUGUGAAACAAUGGAAACAACACAGGUACUUGGUAGUAGGGAUUUAGGUAAAUGAAUCAUUGUAUAUCCAUAAUGGAUUACAGUAUAGUAUGGGCCUUGACCAUGAAUGAUAUUUAUUGAGGUGGAAAGAUAAUAGUGAUAUAUUGUUAAAUAAUAAAACCAGGAUACAAAAUGAUUGGAACC
rnacentral:lncRNA from 1 species